CUACGGGGUGCAGCAGUGGGGAAUUUUGGACAAUGGGCGAAAGCCUGAUCCAGCAACGCCGCGUGAGUGAAGAAGGCCUUAGGGUUGUAAAGCUCUUUUAUUAGGGAAGAUAAUGACGGUACCUAAAGAAUAAGCCCCGGCUAACUCUGUGCCAGCAGCCGCGGUAAUACAGAGGGGGCUAGCGUUGUUCGGAAUUACUGGGCGUAAAGCGCACGUAGGCGGUUUUUUAAGUCAGAUGUGAAAUCCCGGAGCUUAACUCCGGAACUGCAUUUGAAACUGGAAACCUUGAGAUUGGUAGAGGAUAGUGGAAUUCCGAGUGUAGAGGUGAAAUUCGUAGAUAUUCGGAGGAACACCAGUGGCGAAGGCGGCUAUCUGGGCCAAUACUGACGCUAAGGUGCGAAAGCGUGGGGAGCAAACAGGAUUAGAUACCCGCGUAGUC
rnacentral:rRNA from 1 species